GCUGGGUGUGGUGGCUCACACCUGUGAUCCCACCACUUUGGGAGGCAGAGGUGGGUGGAUCACUUGAGGUCAGGAGUUCAAGACCAGCCUGACCAACAUGGUGAAACCCCAUCUCUA
ensembl:misc_RNA Metazoa_SRP Metazoan signal recognition particle RNA